CAGCAGGGCUGCGAGGAUCAGGGUCAUGCUGAGGAACACGCCGACGUAGAAAGCUGGAAGGAUGACAGAAAGAAAUGAGUCUGGGGGAGGCGCACAGGGCAUGGCUGGGCCGAGCUAUGCAGCCCAGGCUACAACCUGGGCUAGGAACAAUGAGGAGAUGCCACAUGUGUCUGAACCCAAUAGAAAACACCUCAGAGCAUCUUCCCUGCCCAGCCAUUGUGCCAUACCUGCCUGGUGGAUAUCCCGGUAGGAGCUGCUCUCAAGGGCGACGUUGCUGAU